rnacentral:rRNA from 1 species
GGUUAAGCGACUAAGCGUACACGGUGGAUGCCCUGGCAGUCAGAGGCGAUGAAGGACGUGCUAAUCUGCGAUAAGCGUCGGUAAGGUGAUAUGAACCGUUAUAACCGGCGAUGUCCGAAUGGGGAAACCCAGUGUGUUCCGACACACUAUCAUUAACUGAAUCCAUAGGUUAAUGAGGCGAACCGGGGGAACUGAAACAUCUAAGUACCCCGAGGAAAAGAAAUCAACCGAGAUUCCCCCAGUAGCGGCGAGCGAACGGGGAGGAGCCCAGAGCCUGAAUCAGUGUGUGUGUUAGUGGAAGCGUCUGGAAAGGCGCGCGAUACAGGGUGACAGCCCCGUACACAAAAAUGCACAUGCUGUGAGCUCGAUGAGUAGGGCGGGACACGUGGUAUCCUGUCUGAAUAUGGGGGGACCAUCCUCCAAGGCUAAAUACUCCUGACUGACCGAUAGUGAACCAGUACCGUGAGGGAAAGGCGAAAAGAACCCCGGCGAGGGGAGUGAAAAAGAACCUGAAACCGUGUACGUACAAGCAGUGGGAGCCCUGAUUUAUCAGGGUGACUGCGUACCUUUUGUAUAAUGGGUCAGCGACUUAUAUUCUGUAGCAAGGUUAACCGAAUAGGGGAGCCGGAGGGAAACCGAGUCUUAACUGGGCGUUAAGUUGCAGGGUAUAGACCCGAAACCCGGUGAUCUAGCCAUGGGCAGGUUGAAGGUUGGGUAACACUAACUGGAGGACCGAACCGACUAAUGUUGAAAAAUUAGCGGAUGACUUGUGGCUGGGGGUGAAAGGCCAAUCAAACCGGGAGAUAGCUGGUUCUCCCCGAAAGCUAUUUAGGUAGCGCCUCGUGAAUUCAUCUCCGGGGGUAGAGCACUGUUUCGGCAAGGGGGUCAUCCCGACUUACCAACCCGAUGCAAACUGCGAAUACCGGAGAAUGUUAUCACGGGAGACACACGGCGGGUGCUAACGUCCGUCGUGAAGAGGGAAACAACCCAGACCGCCAGCUAAGGUCCCAAAGUCAUGGUUAAGUGGGAAACGAUGUGGGAAGGCCCAGACAGCCAGGAUGUUGGCUUAGAAGCAGCCAUCAUUUAAAGAAAGCGUAAUAGCUCACUGGUCGAGUCGGCCUGCGCGGAAGAUGUAACGGGGCUAAACCAUGCACCGAAGCUGCGGCAGCGACACUGUGUGUUGUUGGGUAGGGGAGCGUUCUGUAAGCCUGCGAAGGUGUGCUGUGAGGUAUGCUGGAGGUAUCAGAAGUGCGAAUGCUGACAUAAGUAACGAUAAAGCGGGUGAAAAGCCCGCUCGCCGGAAGACCAAGGGUUCCUGUCCAACGUUAAUCGGGGCAGGGUGAGUCGACCCCUAAGGCGAGGCCGAAAGGCGUAGUCGAUGGGAAACAGGUUAAUAUUCCUGUACUUGGUGUUACUGCGAAGGGGGGACGGAGAAGGCUAUGUUGGCCGGGCGACGGUUGUCCCGGUUUAAGCGUGUAGGCUGGUUUUCCAGGCAAAUCCGGAGAAUCAAGGCUGAGGCGUGAUGACGAGGCACUACGGUGCUGAAGCAACAAAUGCCCUGCUUCCAGGAAAAGCCUCUAAGCAUCAGGUAACAUCAAAUCGUACCCCAAACCGACACAGGUGGUCAGGUAGAGAAUACCAAGGCGCUUGAGAGAACUCGGGUGAAGGAACUAGGCAAAAUGGUGCCGUAACUUCGGGAGAAGGCACGCUGAUAUGUAGGUGAAGCGACUUGCUCGUGGAGCUGAAAUCAGUCGAAGAUACCAGCUGGCUGCAACUGUUUAUUAAAAACACAGCACUGUGCAAACACGAAAGUGGACGUAUACGGUGUGACGCCUGCCCGGUGCCGGAAGGUUAAUUGAUGGGGUCAGCGCAAGCGAAGCUCUUGAUCGAAGCCCCGGUAAACGGCGGCCGUAACUAUAACGGUCCUAAGGUAGCGAAAUUCCUUGUCGGGUAAGUUCCGACCUGCACGAAUGGCGUAAUGAUGGCCAGGCUGUCUCCACCCGAGACUCAGUGAAAUUGAACUCGCUGUGAAGAUGCAGUGUACCCGCGGCAAGACGGAAAGACCCCGUGAACCUUUACUAUAGCUUGACACUGAACACUGGUCCUUGAUGUGUAGGAUAGGUGGGAGGCUUUGAAGUGUGGACGCCAGUCUGCAUGGAGCCGUCCUUGAAAUACCACCCUUUAAUGGCUGGUGUUCUAACGUUGGCCCGUAAUCCGGGUUGCGGACAGUGUCUGGUGGGUAGUUUGACUGGGGCGGUCUCCUCCUAAAGAGUAACGGAGGAGCACGAAGGUUGGCUAAUCCUGGUCGGACAUCAGGAGGUUAGUGCAAUGGCAUAAGCCAGCUUGACUGCGAGCGUGACGGCGCGAGCAGGUGCGAAAGCAGGUCAUAGUGAUCCGGUGGUUCUGAAUGGAAGGGCCAUCGCUCAACGGAUAAAAGGUACUCCGGGGAUAACAGGCUGAUACCGCCCAAGAGUUCAUAUCGACGGCGGUGUUUGGCACCUCGAUGUCGGCUCAUCACAUCCUGGGGCUGAAGUAGGUCCCAAGGGUAUGGCUGUUCGCCAUUUAAAGUGGUACGCGAGCUGGGUUUAGAACGUCGUGAGACAGUUCGGUCCCUAUCUGCCGUGGGCGCUGGAGAACUGAGGGGGGCUGCUCCUAGUACGAGAGGACCGGAGUGGACGCAUCACUGGUGUUCGGGUUGUCAUGCCAAUGGCACUGCCCGGUAGCUAAAUGCGGAAGAGAUAAGUGCUGAAAGCAUCUAAGCACGAAACUUGCCCCGAGAUGAGUUCUCCCUGAGACUUAGAGUCUCCUGAAGGAACGUUGAAGACGACGACGUUGAUAGGCCGGGUGUGUAAGCGCAGCGAUGCGUUGAGCUAACCGGUACUAAUGAACCGUGAGGCUUAACCUU